CCCGGACUGCGCUCGGGCAGCAGGUGCUGCUGUCUCUGCCUCCGCCUUUCGCCCGGCGGCCAAAGGGGCCCUGAGCGGUGGCAGUUCGCAGCCUGUGCAGAGGUCAACGUCGUGAAAUGGCAAAGGGCUUGGAAAGGACCUCAGAGAUCAGCCAGUGCCACCCCCAGUGCCGCGGGCAGGCACAUGUCCCACCAGACCAGGCCACUCAUGCCACAUCCAGCCUGGCCUUGAACACAGCCGUGGUUGGGGUAUCGGUGUCUGCUCUGGGCAGCUUGUUUCAGUUUCUCACCACCUCACAGUAAAGAAUUUGUUUCGUACAUCUAACUCAAAAUUGCCCCUUUUUUCAGUUUGGACCCAUUGCUCCUUGUCCUAUUGCUGCAGCUCCUGAUAAAAAUUCCAUUUCUGGCUUCCAUGUAGGCCCACUUCAGGUACUGGAAGGUUGCAAUGAGGUCUCCACACAACCUUUUUCUCUCUUCCAGGCUGAACAGCCACAAUAUUCUUGGCGUGUCUUCGCAGACACACAAAUCACUAUGUGCCCAAGUGUUGGCUGUGAGUUAGUAAUUCAGGAGCUGCUCUGCAGACAGCCUGAGUCCAUGUGCAUCCAAGAUGGGAGUACAUGACAGAAGCAGUAGCUUCAGGGCUGCUGUUCUCUCUCUAGUCUGAGAUCCCAGGCGGGGUUACAGGCAAUCUAUGUGUAUUUUAGCUGGUUAUUAUAAACAUCAGCAAUGUAUUCCCCGCUAUACAGUGGGUGUCUCGAUAGGCUUAGCUGCAGCCAUCUCCCAAGAGGUAGGCAAUGGUAUUUUUGGAUCCCUUUAGGUCCAGGAGAGAAGUGAAUGUUCUCACAGCCUAGGCAAGUUCUUUAGCUGGUGGUCUGCUGUGUAGAAGUGGCUGUGAUGGCUGGUCUCUGUGUGUCAGCAGUCUGUGUGUCAGCAGGCACCGGGGCCCUCGGGGCUAGGAGUGUAUGUAGCAAGAUAACUCAUUUUGCAAGCAGCUGUGCUGGCUGAAGAUGCAGCUCUCCCCCAGCGAUUUGCUGCCUUUCCUCUGCCAGAGUUACCGCCCCCACAGCUCUUGAGUUGAUGUUGGAUAAGCAAGCAGCUGGAUGAACUGUACUAAUACUGCCUGAGGCGCCCUAAGGAGGAUUCCUGCGAUCUCUCUUGCUGACAGAGGUUUGGACUCGUUUUCUGUGGCUGGCUGUGGUGGCAGCACUGCAUGGCAGUAACACCUAUUGCAGUGAUACUCAAAAGGAGAUGCCUGCCUGUCACUUUAGGCAUGGGACAACUUUCCUGGCAUAUUUGACAUAGUAAUUCCUUGGAGAACUGUGAACAUUUUUAAAUCUCACAGUGUUUUGGAUGUAUGCCCUCCUCUGAGGUACAUGGUCUGUUGGGACAUCAUGCAGAGACUACGUCAGCCUUCUACCAUCAUCUUUGAUGCUAGUGCCAGCUUCAGUUCUCAAGCAAAUGGUUUACUUCAGUAAUUGCAUUCAUGGAGAGAAGCUCAGCGGUUCUGCAGUUACUUUAUCUGUAAGGAGGAGAAUUUCCCUACACUGAGAUGGCUGCACAGAUGAGCUGAAACUAGGAACAGCUCAGUUAUCUGUGACAGAUUUCUUUUGGCAUGUUCCACCAUUGCAAUAGCAGAGAUUACCUGCGACGUCAUCAGUGGGAUAGAUGGUAUCAUUGCCAUUCAUCCCCAGGUUAUGGAUUCCAAGCCACUGGCAGCUGUCUAGAGGCAAGGGAAAAAGAUGAAAGGAUCUAGUUAUGAACAAGCUCUCAACCAACUUUUCUGAAAAUGGUGGAGUCGAGUCACAGCACUGUCUUUCCAGGAAAUGUUGGCUCAGGAUCUAUUUCCUGUGAAAUUUCAAAGAGAACUUUGGUGAAAGCUGUCGUACAGUGUACCACUGGUGGGUGAAAUGUGAUCUUUAGAUGUAUUUGACUAAAAACUCUUACAAGCUUCCAUUAAACUCAUCUUCAGCUUUU